AGACUGAAAGGCUGCUACCCAAGUCCUGGUGCCAGAGCCAAACCUAAAACCAGCAGCAUGGCUCUGCCUUCAGCUUUGCAGGGCUCAGUGGGGUGCUUGGAAAUAGGGGUGAGUCAUUUAUUUCUGUAGGUUUCUGUGGCACUAGGAUCCAGGGAUGGACCAUUGGGUGAUCUGUGGCAUACCACAGAACUGCAGGAUGGGAAGCGACAAUACCAACCUCAAAGAAUUGUUGAGAGUAUCCCAUGAUGAACUAGAACGAGCACUUGUCUGUUCCUGGAACCUAGUAGACACUUAAUAAAUGGAAGUGACAGUUCUGGAAAACCAUUGACUGAAAUGACUAACAGAGGCCAGCUGAUGACUUAAAAAGGAGGAGGAGGGGAUGGAAUUGUUUUCGGCACCCAUCCUCCUCCAUUGCUGAGGCUGGCUCUUGGUUACCUAGGCGACGCCGCACAAUGUGAGCCGGUGCCACUGUGUGCAGCUGCCCGGCUCCUUGCGCUUGUGCACUGCGCGUGAUGGAGCCAACUUGGCCACUGGUUGACACUAGCAAUAAGUCAGCUCUGGCUAUGGCAGAGGUUGUGGGGCAAAGGGCUUAAUUCCCACAGUGACAGGGAGUGCAAAGUCUGUUGGUGCAAUAUUAAAAUAAACAAUCGCACAUAAUAUUUUAAAUAGUAAUAAUUAAUGUAGCAACAACCACAAAAAACAAAACUGAAAACCAAAAGCCAGUCAGUGCCAAGGAGAAGGGAGUUUCCCUGAUGUGUUUAUAAACAUCGGAGAAAAAGAAAUAAAUAAAAGGAAGAGAGAAGCAGCCCAGAGCAAUUUCUGGGCUCACCCCUCUGUUCUUCCCAGAAUGUGUUUCUCAUUACAAGAGGGGAAUACAGGCCACACAUGGGCAGAAAGAAACUAUGCAGACAGGAAAGUAAUUGGGGGUGUCAGGGUCGUGGGAUAAAUCUGUGAGUUUGUUCUCAAAUGUUCUCUCACUUUCACAAUAAUUUUUUUUUAAUUAACUCUAAGUCAAAGUCAAAUUGCAACUUACUCUGUUGUGAUUUCCUGUAGGACGUGUCCUUCCAUUUACUCCAGGAAAAGAGUGAGGUAGUUUUGAUCUUGAGCUCUAUCCUAAAGUCAGUUCCAUAUCCAUCCUACUUGGAUUGGGUUGACUUAAAAUUUGGACGCUCCUUUCAAAAAGGCUUUCCUGAUUGGCCUAUUGCAGCACAUGUGGAGGAGGAAAAUGAGAGGGAGGAGGCCACCAUCUCAUGGCCCUCAACUGUCAGGUGGGGACACUAAGACACACAGAAAGCAAGACAUUUGCUCGAGCUUAAUCAGUUGUAUCGUGAAGAGUUCGCUUCCAAACUCCAGCCUCAUGAGUUUGGGUUCUUUUUCAAACUCUACAACUGGAGCCAAAAAUAAUUCUUUUUCUUGGAAAAUGCCCCCUGCUAGAGU